UACGGAGGGUGCAAGCGUUGUCCGGAUUUAUUGGGUUUAAAGGGUGCGCAGGUGGGUAUUUAAGUCUGGUUUGAAAGCAGGUGGCUCAACCAUCUGAUGUGGCUGGAAACUGGAUAUCUUGAAUGGGUUGGCGGUAGCCGGAAUGGGUCAUGUAGCGGUGAAAUGCAUAGAUAUGACCCGGAACAUCGAUUGCGAAGGCAGGCUACUACGACUUGAUUGACACUGAGGCACGAGAGCAUGGGUAGCGAACAGG
rnacentral:rRNA from 1 species